rnacentral:rRNA from 1 species
CCUACGGGAGGCAGCAGUGGGGAAUCUUGCGCAAUGGGCGAAAGCCUGACGCAGCCAUGCCGCGUGAAUGAUGAAGGUCUUAGGAUUGUAAAAUUCUUUCACCGAGGACGAUAAUGACGGUACUCGGAGAAGAAGCCCCGGCUAACUUCGUGCCAGCAGCCGCGGUAAUACGAAGGGGGCUAGCGUUGCUCGGAAUUACUGGGCGUAAAGGGAGCGUAGGCGGAUAGUUUAGUCAGAGGUGAAAGCCCAGGGCUCAACCUUGGAAUUGCCUUUGAUACUGGCUAUCUUGAGUACGGAAGAGGUAUGUGGAACUCCGAGUGUAGAGGUGAAAUUCGUAGAUAUUCGGAAGAACACCAGUGGCGAAGGCGACAUACUGGUCCGUUACUGACGCUGAGGCUCGAAAGCGUGGGGAGCAAACAGGAUUAGAUACCCUGGUAGUCCACGCUGUAAACGAUGAGUGCUAGUUGUCGGCAUNNAUGCAUGUCGGUGCGCAGCUACGACAUAAGACACUCCGCCGUCGGGAGGUACGGUCGCGAGAAGUUAAACGUACGAAUAGUAAGUUAGUACGGUACGUGAGACGUGACCGACGGACGACGACGAGGGAGGAGG